UGGGGAAUAUUGCACAAUGGGCGCAAGCCUGAUGCAGCCAUGCCGCGUGUAUGAAGAAGGCCUUCGGGUUGUAAAGUACUUUCAGCGGGGAGGAAGGCGAUAAGGUUAAUAACCUUGUCGAUUGACGUUACCCGCAGAAGAAGCACCGGCUAACUCCGUGCCAGCAGCCGCGGUAAUACGGAGGGUGCAAGCGUUAAUCGGAAUUACUGGGCGUAAAGCGCACGCAGGCGGGUUGUCAAGUCGGAUGUGAAAUCCCCGGGCUCAACCUGGGAACUGCAUUCGAAACUGGCAGGCUAGAGUCUUGUAGAGGGGGGUAGAAUUCCAGGUGUAGCGGUGAAAUGCGUAGAGAUCUGGAGGAAUACCGGUGGCGAAGGCGGCCCCCUGGACAAAGACUGACGCUCAGGUGCGAAAGCGUGGGGAGCAAACA
rnacentral:rRNA from 1 species